rnacentral:rRNA from 1 species
CCUACGGGAGGCAGCAGUGGGGAAUAUUGCACAAUGGGGGAAACCCUGAUGCAGCGACGCCGCGUGAGUGAUGAAGGAUUUCGGUAUGUAAAGCUCUAUCAGCAGGGAAGAAAAUGACGGUACCUGACUAAGAAGCCCCGGCUAACUACGUGACAGCAGCCGCGGUAAUACGUAGCGGGCAAGCGUUAUCCGGAUUUACUGGGGGUAAAGGGAGCGUAGCCGGCAUGGCCAGCCAGAUGUGAAAGGCUGGGGCUCAACCCCAGGACUGCAUUUGUAACGGUCAUGCUAGAGUGUCGGAGAGGCAGGCGGCCUUCCUCGUGUAGCGGUGUAAUUCGUAGAUAUUAGGCGGCACUCCAGUCGCGCCGGCGGCCUGCUGGACGAUGACUGACGUUGCUGCUCG